rnacentral:rRNA from 1 species
AACGCUGGCGGCGUGCCUAAUACAUGCAAGUCGAGCGAACAGACGAGGAGCUUGCUCCUCUGACGUUAGCGGCGGACGGGUGAGUAACACGUGGAUAACCUACCUAUAAGACUGGGAUAACUUCGGGAAACCGGAGCUAAUACCGGAUAAUAUAUUGAACCGCAUGGUUCAAUCGUGAAAGACGGUUUUGCUGUCACUUAUAGAUGGAUCCGCGCCGCAUUAGCUAGUUGGUAAGGUAACGGCUUACCAAGGCAACGAUGCGUAGCCGACCUGAGAGGGUGAUCGGCCACACUGGAACUGAGACACGGUCCAGACUCCUACGGGAGGCAGCAGUAGGGAAUCUUCCGCAAUGGGCGAAAGCCUGACGGAGCAACACCGCGUGAGUGAUGAAGGUCUUCGGAUCGUAAAACUCUGUUAUUAGGGAAGAACAAAUGUGUAAGUAACUAUGCACGUCUUGACGGUACCUAAUCAGAAAGCCACGGCUAACUACGUG